GGGUGUGUAGCUCAGCCUGGUUAGAGCGCUUCGUUGACAUCGAAGAGGUCUCUGGUUCAAAUCCAGACACACCCA
rnacentral:tRNA from 1 species